GGCCAGCUCCUUCUCACUUGUC
rnacentral:siRNA from 1 species